rnacentral:tRNA from 1 species
CAGAGUAUAGCUUAAUUAAAGCAUUUUGCUUACAUCAAAAAAAUAUUUAUUAAAAUAAAUUAUUCUGA